rnacentral:rRNA from 1 species
UUAGUGGAAGAUCCCCCACACUGGCACUGAGAUACGGGCCAGACUCCUACGGGAGGCAGCAGUAGGGAAUAUUGGUCAAUGGGCGCAAGCCUGAACCAGCUAUGCCGCGUGCAGGAUGAAGGCUCUCUGAGUUGUAAACUGCUUUUGUACAGGAACAAAAAAGCCCCUGCGGGGGUUCUUGAGCGUACUGUAAGAAUAAGCACCGGCUAAUUCCGUGCCAGCAGCCGCGGUAAGACGGAAGGUGCAAGCGUUAUCCGGUUUUAUUGGGUUUAAAGGGUGCGUAGGCGGUUUAUUAAGUCAGUUGUGAAAUCUUAGUGCUUAACGCUAAAACUGCAAUUGAUACUGGUAGACUUGAGUUAAGAAGAGGUAAGUAGAAUUUAUGGUGUAGUAGUGAAAUGCUUAGAUAUCAUAAGGAAUACCAAUGGCGUAGGCA